AUGCUCUCCUCCGCCGUCAGGCACGGGCUCAAACGGCGAUUCCGUCCUCUUGCCUCGCCAGCAAAGGCUCCCGCUUCCCCUUCCGCGGCGCAUCGCCGAAGCUCUCAUGCGGACGCCUCGCCCGCCUCGCACGCGUCGCUGCUCCUCCGGCUGCGGUCGGGCCCCGCCCUCGCCGAGACCCGGCGGCUGCACGCCGCGGUGCUCGUCGGCGGCCAUCACCACGGCGCGGUCCUCUCCGCUCAGCUGGUGCACGUGUACUCUAAGCUCGGGCAGAUCGAGCACGCGCUUCGCCUGCUCGACGGAAUGCCCAGGAGGAACUCCUUCGCGUGGAACGCCGCGAUCAAGGGCCUCGUCGACGCGGAACGGUUCUCCGAGGCGCUGGAGACGUACCGGGCGAUGGUCGACGAUGGCUCGGUUGCGGCGGAUGGUUUCACGUGCCCGCCCGUCAUCAAGGCGUGCGCCGCGCUCGGAGCGGUUGAUCAGGGCCGGAUGAUCAGAGAGCAUGUGGAGGCAUCCGUUGCCUGUGGCGACACUAUGCCCAACGUGUUUGUGCAGUGCGCGCUCGUGGACAUGUUUGCCAAGUGUGGGUGCUUGGGCGAGGCGAGGAGUGUUUUCGAGAGCAUGCAGCAAAGGGAUGUGGCCGCGUGGACUGCGAUGAUCGGAGGAGCCGUGCAUGCAGGAGAUUGGCUCGAUGCGAUGUGUUUGUUUAAUAGGAUGAGAUCAGAAGGGUUCCGGGCUGAUUCGGUGAUCGUUGCCACUGUCAUCCCAGCAUGUGGCAGGAUGAAAGAGUUGCGAGCUGGAACGGCGUUGCAUGGAUGCGCGGUAAGAUGUGGAGUUGCUGAUGAUAACUGUGUUUCUAAUGCUCUGGUUGAUAUGUACUGCAAGUGUGGCUGUCUGGAGAUGGCUGAUUACUUGUUCCGUUCUAUCGAUUUCAAGGAUGUCGUCUCUUGGAGUACAUUGAUUGCGGGGUAUUCGCAGAAUGGAAUGUAUCAUGCGAGUGUCAGUUUGUUUACUGAAAUGGUUGCUUCAAGGUUAAAACCAAAUUCCAAUACCAUGGCAGGUAUACUUCCGAGUCUUUCCGGCCUUAAGUUAUUCAGGCAUGGAAAAGAGGUCCAUGGCUUCUCCUUAAGACAUGGACUUGACCAGAGCAAGUUUCUAGGGAGUGCAUUUAUUGACUUCUACAGUAGACAAGGAUUCAUAAGGGAGGCAGGAACUGUAUUUGAACUCAUUCCAAAGAAAGAUUUGGUUAUAUGGAAUUCAGUGGUUGCAGCUUAUUGCGUGAAUGGGGAUACAGAUUCUGCACUGUGUGCAUUUAGGGCGCUGCAGAAAGCAGGAUUUAAACCUGAUCAUGUGACUGUUAUUUCACUUCUUCCAGUAUGCAAUCACCAUUCCAGCUUCAUCCAGGGUAAGGCACUACAUGCUUACGUAAUUAGGCAUGAUAUGAGUUCUAUCUGCUCAGUCAGUAACGCACUUAUAGAUAUGUACUGCAAAUGUUGUUGCCUAGAAAAGGGCAAAGAGAUUUUCCAGCUGAUGACAGAGCGAGAUACUGCCACAUAUAAUACAUUGAUUUCUUCUUUGGGAAAGCAUGGCCAUGAAGAUCAAGCCAUAAUGUUAUUUGAUCAAAUGAAGAGAGAUGGAAUUGCUCCUGACAAAGUCACUUUUGUGGCUCUAUUAUCUUGUUGCAGUCAUGCAGGCCUUACUGAGCAGGGCUUGCACUUUUACGAUUCCAUGUUACAAGACUACAACAUUUCCCCAGAUAAGGAGCAUUACUCAUGUGUUGUUGAUCUUUACAGCAGAUCUGGGAAACUUGACGAUGCUUGGAAGUUCAUUUCAAGUUUGAGGGAAGGGACAGAAAUAGAUAUUCUUGGAUGCCUCUUGGCGGCUUGCAGAGUGCAUAACAGAAUGGAUAUUGCUGAGCUAGUUGCAAAAAGAAUAUUUGAAAAGAACCCCGGUGAUCCUGGCUAUCAUAUUUUGCUGUCCAAUAUAUAUGCUGAUGCUGGAAUGUGGUCUGAUGUGACGAAGAUCAGAACCAUAAUAGAAGAGAGGAGUUUGAAGAAUAAAAUAGGAAACAGUUUGAUUUAA
rnacentral:rRNA from 1 species